rnacentral:lncRNA from 1 species
UUAUGCCCCUAUUUAUACAUGACAAAACCUUACUGGCCUUAGCAACUGCAGAUUGACAUUGCAUAAUGCUGCCUAAUUUGUUGUCUAUAACAAUUCCCAAAUCCUUCUCGUGUGUGGUUAUCCCUAGUUCACUACCAUUUAGGGUGUAAAUUGCUUGUGCAUUCUUAACCCCCGAAGUGCAUAACUUUGCAUUUCUCUACGUUAAAAGUCAUCUGCCAUUUUAGUGCCCAGUCCCCCAAUCUAUCCAAAUCCCUCUGCAACAAGG